UUGUCAGAAUGAAAAGCAGAGCUUGUGUGCAGAAUAGUAAACAAUGUUUACAUGUUGCUGACAUGAAAUCUUGUUAAGCACAUCUGGUUUAAAUGCGUUCUGAAUUAUUGGAUUAAUAAUUCUAAUUGCUUUCUUUAGUAAAAGACCCAGCAAGACCCAUUUUACCUCCAAAUGACGGCUUUACUUUAAAAAUUUUUCAAAUUUUGUCAUUUAUCCAGUAAUGAGAUCUAAAUCCCAUCCCUUCCAUUGCACAUAUUUCUUCGAUGAAUAUGAAGUUUGCGAAGAUUUAAAUGGGAAACCUAAGAAAAAUAAAGUAAUUAAAGAGAUUAACUUCAUAAUCUCUGAUGGUACAGAGAUGAAAAGGAUUAAAGCGGCCAAUGAUUUUGAUUUCUGAGAAGCUGGACUCUCACUCAAAUUUCCGGUGAAGGAAUUUCUUAAAAAUAAUCUUCCAUGGAAAAGAAAAGAAAGCAAAAACUGGGCCAGGCAGCCAAAAAUCAAAGACUGCAAGGCUUAUCAAAUUGAGGAAACUAAAAAGAGAACUGACGAUGAACACUUGCUAGAUACAUUUAUAAAGAUGAUUCUGAUCUCGAAGUUAAUCUAAACGAAUUAUAUGUGGCUAGAGAAUUGUAUGAUGAUCAAAUGCUGCAUGUUUCCGAGAAAAAAGGCAAAAAUACAAACGAGAUCUAAAUCAAUAAAUAACUUUUAUUUACACAGAUAAA